rnacentral:rRNA from 1 species
UACGUAGGGGGCAAGCGUUGUCCGGAAUCAUUGGGCGUAAAGCGCGUGUAGGCGGCCCGAUAAGUCCGCUGUGAAAGUCCGGGGCUCAACCCCGGGAGGCGGGUGGAUACUGUCGAGCUCGAGUCCGGAAGAGGCGAGUGGAAUUCCUGGUGUAGCGGUGAAAUGCGUAGAUAUCAGGAGGAACACCGAUGGCGAAGGCAGGUCUCUGGGCUGACACUGACGCUCAUGCACGAAAGCGUGGGGAGCAAACAGG